rnacentral:sRNA from 1 species
UCGAGUGUCAUGACUCGCCCACAGCCGC